rnacentral:snoRNA from 1 species
UGGCUAUGAUGAUAUUCCACUUCAGGUCCGUGUUUCUGAAGCCUGAUUAUUAUGGAAGUCCUGAGUGA